AGAGUUUGAUUAUGGCUCAGGAUGAACGCUAGCGACAGGCUUAACACAUGCAAGUCGAGGGGCAGCACGGGAGUAGCAAUACAACUGGUGGCGACCGGCGCACGGGUGAGUAACGCGUAUGCAACCUACCUAUCAGAGGGGAAUAACCCGGCGAAAGUCGGACUAAUACCGCAUAAAACAGGGGGCACCGCAUGGUGAUAUUUGUUAAAGAAAUUCGCUGAUAGAUGGGCAUGCGUUCCAUUAGGUAGUUGGUGAGGUAACGGCUCACCAAGCCGACGAUGGAUAGGGGAACUGAGAGGUUGGUCCCCCACACUGGUACUGAGACACGGACCAGACUCCUACGGGAGGCAGCAGUGAGGAAUAUUGGUCAAUGGGCGAGAGCCUGAACCAGCCAAGUCGCGUGAAGGAAGAAGGAUCUAUGGUUCGUAAACUUCUUUUGCAGGGGAAUAAAGUGCGGGACGUGUCCUGUUUUGUAUGUACCCUGAGAAUAAGGAUCGGCUAACUCCGUGCCAGCCGCAGC
rnacentral:rRNA from 1 species